CGUCCCUGCACUGCCUCCAGGCACUUUUACAAAUGACACCUGGAGGACAUGAGCAAAGGAGAACAUCCACAUGGCACAGCCAUGCAUGUGGUCUGAUCUCACCUAGCAUACCUCAACACCGCUGGCAGGAGAACCCCAACAUGCUCUGGAGGUUGAUUCACCUGCAGAAGUUGAGAAGCGCAACAUAAGGGGUGGGUCUGUGGUCUGGUAAGAAACACGAGGUUUUCUGCCAGCAUUGUGUCUUCUGGGGAGGUUUUCCAAUUACUAUUUUUAUUUUUUACAUAAGGCAGGAUGUGCUGUGUCUCUCCCCUUCCAGCCCAUGCUCUCUAGCUAGUACAUGGGCAGAGACCCAGCACCCAGGGUGACGGCCUAAACCUGUGUGGCAGAAAGGUUUCACACACAGCCCUCUGUUUUGUUUAUGCUGCCUCUGCAGAGAGAGGAGGACGCUGCUGCAGGGAGCUUGUUUCUUGAGUGCCCCUGAGGGCCAGGACCAGAACAAAGGCAGUGUUUGCGUUCCCUGUCUUUCCCCAAGAAAUCUGCAGCAGGCCGACGCCCCAGCAGCCCCCUGGGCGCUGGAUCUGGGUGGAUUUGGAAGGUUUCCGUCUGGCCCACGCAGACCAGGGUGGUCUGCCCUCCAUGUCCCUCUGCGCCAGGCCUGUCCCCCAUAAAUGAGAUCCAGGGGGUGGGAAGCUGUCUGUCUGCUCCUCGUGGGCUGAAUUGAGAAUGGCCCAAUAAACAAAGGGGAGUGGUUAUCCAUUUUGCCUGGAGGAACAUUUGUGAAACACUGUUCUGAGGAAUAAUCCAGUCUCCCACUCCACCAUAGUUGAAUGGAUUGCUGCUGAGAUCCCUGGGCCAGGGGUUCAGUGUAAGUUUCACAGGAGUCUUGCUUAGCGGGAUGAUGAUGGUGUGAUCACUGUGAACAAGGCCAGUAUGGCUUUCUGUGUAUGCCUGCAAAUCGAGUGGUGGAUCCCUACAUUG